GACGAACGCUGGCGGCGUGCUUAACACAUGCAAGUCGAACGGGCCCGCCCCUGUUUUUGGGGGUGGGUUGAGUGGCGAACGGGUGAGUAUCACGUGAGUAACCUGCCCCCUGCUCCUGGAUAACUGCUUGAAAGGGCGGCUAAUACGGGGUGUGCCGGCUGGUCCGCAUGGGCCUGGUCGGGAUAGUUUCAUCUUCGGGUGUUUCGGUGGGGGAUGGGCUCGCGGCCUAUCAGCUUGUUGGUGGGGUGAUGGCCCACCAAGGCGGUGACGGGUAGCCGGCCUGAGAGGGUGGGCGGCCACACUGGGACUGAGACACGGCCCAGACUACUGCGGGAGGCAGCAGUGGGGGGUAUUGCACAAUGGGCGGAAGCCUGAUGCAGCGACGUCGCGUGAGGGAUGGAGGCCUUCGGGUUGUGAACCUCUUUCUCCGGGGGUGAAGGCCCUGUCCGUUGCGGCGGGGUUGACGGUAGCCGGGUAUGAAGCGCCGGCUAACUACGUG
rnacentral:rRNA from 1 species